rnacentral:rRNA from 1 species
GAUGAACGCUGGCGGCGUGCCUAAUACAUGCAAGUCGAGCGAACGGAUGAGAAGCUUGCUUCUCUGAUGUUAGCGGCGGACGGGUGAGUAACACGUGGAUAACCUACCUAUAAGACUGGGAUAACUUCGGGAAACCGGAGCUAAUACCGGAUAAUAUUUUGAACCGCAUGGUUCAAAAGUGAAAGACGGUCUUGCUGUCACUUAUAGAUGGAUCCGCGCUGCAUUAGCUAGUUGGUAAGGUAACGGCUUACCAAGGCAACGAUGCAUAGCCGACCUGAGAGGGUGAUCGGCCACACUGGAACUGAGACACGGUCCAGACUCCUACGGGAGGCAGCAGUAGGGAAUCUUCCACAAUGGGCGAAAGCCUGACGGAGCAACGCCGCGUGAGUGAUGAAGGUCUUCGGAUCGUAAAACUCUGUUAUUAGGGAAGAACAUAUGUGUAAGUAACUGUGCACAUCUUGACGGUACCUAAUCAGAAAGCCACGGCUAACUACGUG